rnacentral:lncRNA from 1 species
GGCUUUGGGGAGGGGGGUCCCGGCUGACUGAUGAGAACUCCAAAUGCUCCCCAGCCCCGGCUGCUAAUCACUUCCAGAUUGGCCGGGUCAGGGCCAGGGCCGCCGCCGCCUGGCUCCAUAAACAGCCCGUCGCUCCAGAUGGCGGCUGGCUCCAGCCUGGCGAGCAGGUUCAUGGGGGACUGGGGGGUGGCAGCAGGUGGAGGACCCCCACCUCACUAGCCGCCUCAGCUGCCACACCUCCACACCGCCCUGAGUUGGGGACCCUGGGCCAGAAGGGGUGGCAGAAACUGAACCCAUUGCUCAGAGGAGGGAAACUGAGGCCCGGAAGGGGCAACGUGGGUGGUGGUCAAGGUGGGGGGAAGACAGAGAUGUAAGGGGGGUGCUCCUUGAGGGUUGAUGCUGGGUUCACUUUACCUCUGUGAAUCCAGCACACCAUGAGGAUGCCGUAAAGACCCGAGGAGGGAGGGAAGGGGGGCAUCAUUGCCAGCUGGGUUUAAAUUCUGGCUCCAGCUUUUACUCCCUGAGUGAAUAAAUUAUUUCCACCCCCAGCCUCAGUUUUCUCAUCUGUAAAAUGGGGAUGGCUGGAGUACAGGAUUGCUGGAAGAUUCAAUGAUUCGGCUCCUGCAGACAGUUUGCACUCCACACACGGCGCAGGCGCUGAACACAGCUUCUCCCUCUUCCUUUUCCGGAAACUCCUUCUAUUCCUGCUUCUCCUGCCGCCGGAGAGCACAGUGGCCUCCUCCAGGAAGCCACCUUGACUUUUACUCAGACCUCUCCCUUUGUGCCAGGCACUGUGCUUUUCCCACAGCCUCUCUCACAGGGUCUCUCCUCGACACAACUGGCACCUGACGCUCUUGUCCUUUUGAAAACAAGGAAACAGAGGGUCAGGGAAGUAACUGGUACCUAGUGCUGUUAGGGCCCCGCCCCUUGCAGAUGAGGAGACAAAGGGCCAGGGAGGCAGUGGGAUGGAUAUGUUGAGGUCGCCAGGAAAAGACAGCCUGAUGUGCACCUGGAGCUGUCUCUGAAGGUCUCACAGAACCUGGCACAGCGUCAGGUAACCCGGCUGCCUCUCCUGCCACACCCACCAACCCCAGAGCCCACACCUUGGCACAGAAGGAAGAGAUCCAGGCUGGUGCUGGGUCGUAAUAUCCCAGGGAAAGGGCCUUGAGGUCAGCGGCCCGUUCUGCCCUGUGCCUGGGAGGAAUGUUCGUGGUGGCCCCAGCCUGGAUCCGAGAAGAAAGGCAGCCUUGUGGGCGAAAGGUCCUGAAGUCUGAGCAGUGGUUGGUGACGGAAGACCUGGAUGCGAAAAGCCGACCACCAGAGUCAAGACCCAGAGAAAACAGCAGGUGCCUGAGGCAAGGAAGCCGGGAUUCCCAGACUCUGGCAGCCUGGCCCCAGCUGUCCCAGAGGGCACCCCGCCAGCCCCUGGGUCCACUCCACCCAGGGUCCAGCCCUGACUGCGCCAAUGGCAGCAAAGAUGGCAGGGACCCCAAGGGCAACUUCCCAACCACCAGCAGCAUUUAGGGAGCACCAACUGUGUACCCCACUCUGGACUGGGCAGCAUAGAGAUUGUACCGCAGUGAAUUCCUGGGGACCAGGGGUGGUGACUUCAUUGUCUUCCUGUCCCUAGAGCCCAGCACUGGCUACUCAUGGAUUCAAACAUUUAUGGUGCACCUACUGUGUACCAGUGACUAUGCUGAGUGCAUCUGCCUGCCAAGAGAGGGAAUUUCUGGACCAUAUAUUUAGGGAGGGGAGGAAGACAGUGCACUUUCUUUUUUUUUUUUUAAUCUUUUGUUGUUGUUGUUGUUGAGAUGGAGUCUCACUUUGUCGCCCAGGCUGGAGUGCAGUGGCACAAUCUCGGCUCACUGCAACCUCUGCCUCCUGGGUUCAAGUGAUUCUCCUGCCUCAGCCUCCAAAGUAGCUGGGAUUACAGGCGCCUGCCAACAUGCUUGGCUAAUUUUUAUGUUUUUAGUAGAGACAGGGUUUCUCCAUGUUGACCAGGCCAGUCUCGAACUCCUGACCUCAGGUGAUCCACCCGCCUCGGCCCCCCAAAGUGCUGGGAUUACAGAUGUGAGCCGCCACGCCCGGCCGAGAGUGCACUUUUCUAUCAAAGUUUUUUUUUUUUUUUUUUUUAACUGAAAGCAGUCUUUUCGUAAGUAAAUAAACAUAAAGAAUUCCCAAGUUAAGCCGGGAGCGGUGGCUCAUCCCUGUAAUUCUAGCGCUUUGGGAGGCCAAGAUGGGAGGAUUGCUUGAGCCUGGGAGUUUGAGACCAGCCUGGGCAACAU